UACGUAGGGGCCGAGCGUUGUCCGGAAUUAUUGGGCGUAAAGCGCGCGCAGGCGGCCUCGCGCGCCCGACGUGAAAGCCCCCGGCUUAACCGGGGAGGGUCGUUGGGGACGGCGGGGCUUGAGGGCGGGAGAGGGUGGUGGAAUUCCAGGUGUAGCGGUGAAAUGCGUAGAUAUCUGGAGGAAUACCGGUGGCGAAGGCGGCAUCCUGGACCGACAUUGACGCUGAGGAGCGAAAGCUAGGGGAGCAAACGGG
rnacentral:rRNA from 1 species